rnacentral:lncRNA from 1 species
AAAAAACUCCCAAAAAACCAGCUCCCAAAAAUACCCAAAAGAAAUAAUCUAAAAAACCCAAAAAACAGCCCAGAAAACCAGCUCAAAUAAUUCCAAUUUUCCGAUUUUGCCCAAAAUUUCCUUUUUCUCCCCAAUUCGCUCCAAAGCCCCCAACCCCCAAUUUCAUCAAAAUGCCCAUUUUCCCUCCCAAAACCCCAAAUCCCCCAGAAGUCCAAUUUUUCCCAUUUUUCCCAAUUUCCCCCUUUUCCCUCCAACCCCCAAUUUCCCCAAAAUUCCCGUUUUUCCCCAAAAAUUCCAAUUUUUUCCCUUUUUUUCCCAAUUUUCCCGCCAAACCCACCUUGUGGGCGUGGCCUCGCUCCGGCUCCGCCCCGUCCCCGCCGCGGCCCCGCCCCCAGGCUCCCAGCCGGGGGGUCCCGCGCAUGCGCAGGAGGCGCUCCCGCCGGCUCUGAGGCGAAUUCCGGCGGUUUUGGGGCUUCUCGGGCGGUUCCAUAUUUUGGGGGGAAUUCCGGCGGUUUUGGGGCUUCUCCUCGGGCGGCUCCGGAGCUUGGGGCGAGUUCCGCGGGUUUUGGGGCGAAUUCCGCGGGUUUUGGGGCCAAUUCCGGCGGUUUUGGGGCUUCUCGGGCGGCUCCGCGUUUUGGGGCGAAUUGCGGGGGUUUUGGGGCUCCCCCGAGCGCCACUGGAGCAUCCCCCGCACGCUGCGGCCCACGCUGCGCAGCGAGAAGCGGCGGCGCGGCUUCGCUUUUGGGGCCAAUUCCGAGGAUUUCGGGCAAAUUUCGGGAGAUUUUGGGGAAACUUCUGGAGAUUUCGGGGAAAGUUCCGGGGAUUUUGGGGAAAGUUCCGGGGAUUUUGGGGAGAUUUCCGGCGAUUUUGGGGAGAUUUCAGGCGAUUUUGGGGAGAUUUCGAGGGAUUUUGGGGCGUUUCCAGCCCACGCCGUGUAAAUCUCAGCCGGUUUUGGGGCGAUUUCCAGCGAUUUUGGGACAUUGUGAGGCCGCUUUGUGCCGAUUUCUGCCGAUUUUGGGGCGUUUUCCGCCCAUUUCGGGCAAAUUUCACCUGAUUUUGGGCCGAUUUCUGCCCAUUUUGAGGCACUUUCAGCCCAUUCAGGGCAAAUUUCAGCCGAUCUUAACCGAAAUUCAGCCGGUUUUGGGCAAAUUUCAGCUGAUUUCAGUCCAAAUUCAGCCGAUUUUGAGCCGAUUUCUGUCAAAUUUGGUCCAAUUUCCCCCAAUUUUUCAUCAGUUUCUGCAAGUUUUGAGUCAACUUUCCCCAAUUUUGGGUCAAUUUCCCCCAAACUUGAUCCAAUCUCCCUCAAUUUUGGGUCAGUUUCUGCCAAUUUUGGGUCAAUUUCCCCAAAUUUUGAGCCACUUUUCCUCAAUCUCGGGUCAAUUCCCCCCAAUUUUGGGUCAAUUUCCCUCAAAUUUGAUCCAAAUUCAGCCGAUUUUGAGUCAAUUUCUUUGAAUUUUGAUCCAGAUUCAGCCAAUUUUGGGUCCACUUCCCCAAAUUUUGGGUCAAAUUCUGCAAAUUUUGGGUCAAUUUCCCUCAAUUUUGGCUCAAUUUCUCUCAAAUCUGGGUCCAUUCCCCCCAGAUUUGACCCAAAAUCAGCCAAUUUUGUGUCAAAUUCAGCAAACUUUGCGUCAAUUUCUCUCAAAUUUGCGUCAAAUUCCCCCAAUUUCGCCUCAUUUUCCUCCAUUUUCUCCCCGCUCUCGCGCCCAUAUCGCGACACCGCCCCGCCCCUUUCGUUGGCCCCGCCCCUCUCGGCGGCCGCGCGCGCCACCUCGGCCCGGAAGUGUUCCAGAAAGUUCCGCGCGAAGCGGCGCGAGAAGGCGGCGGCGGCGCCGGCCCCGCCCAGCCCCGACUGCGGCUGCGCGGCCACGAAGUCGCGGUAGCGGCGCGCGAAGUCGCGGGCGGCCGCGCGGGCCUGGCGCGCGCAGAAAUCCCGCCACGAGUUCUCGCGAGACUGCGGGGGAAAGGGCGGGAAGCGGCCUUGGGGGAAAUCUGAGGGGAUUUGGGCAAAAUCGGGAAUUUCGGCAAAAUUCGGGGGGUUCUGGGUGAGGUUUGAGGGGUUUUGGGGGAAAUCUGAGGGGAUUUGGGCAAAAUCGGGGGGGAUUUCGGCAAAAUUCGGGGGUUUUGAGGGG